AACGUAGGAGGCAAGCGUUAUCCGAAUUUACUGGGCGUAAAGCGUGUGCCGGCGGUCGGGUAAGUUGGAUGUGAAAUCUCCUGGCUCAACUGGGAGAGGUCGUUCAAAACUACUCGGCUGGAGGGCGGUAGAGGGAGGUGGAAUUCCCGGUGUAGUGGUGAAAUGCGUAGAUAUCGGGAGGAACACCAGUGGCGAAGGCGAUCUUCUGGUCUGUUUCUGACACUCAUACGCGACAGCUAGGGUAGUAAAC
rnacentral:rRNA from 1 species